ACCUUGUCAAUUGGAAGGGAUCCCUUCCAAUUGAUGAGAUCUUUUCACCUCGUCGAUUGGAAGGGAUCCCUUCCAAUAGAUGAGAU
rnacentral:miRNA from 1 species